UACGUAGGGGGCAAGCGUUGUCCGGAUUUAUUGGGCGUAAAGAGCGUGUAGGCGGCUGGGAAGGUCCGUUGUGAAAACUCGAGGCUCAACCUCGAGACGCCGAUGGAAACCCUCCAGCUAGAGUCCGGAAGAGGAGAGUGGAAUUCCUGGUGUAGCGGUGAAAUGCGCAGAUAUCAGGAAGAACACCCGUGGCUAAGGCGGCUCUCUAGUACGGUACUGACGCUGAGACGCGAAAGCGUGGGGAGCGAACAGG
rnacentral:rRNA from 1 species